rnacentral:rRNA from 1 species
UACCAGGACCCCGAGUGGUCGGGACGAUUAUUGGGCCUAAAGCAUCCGUAGCCGGUCCUGCAAGUCUUCCGUUAAAUCCAGCUGCUCAACAGAUGGGCUGCGGGGGAUACUACAGGGCUAGGAGGCGGGAGAGGCAAGCGGUACUUUAUGGGUAGGGGUAAAAUCCGUUGAUCCAUAGAAGACCACCAGUGGCGAAGGCGGCUUGCCAGAACGCGCUCGACGGUGAGGGAUGAAAGCUGGGGGAGCAAACCGG